UACGUAGGGUGCGAGCGUUGUCCGGAAUUAUUGGGCGUAAAGGGCUCGUAGGCGGUUUGUCGCGUCGGGAGUGAAAACUCCGGGCUUAACUCGGUGCUUGCUUUCGAUACGGGCAGACUAGAGGCAUGCAGGGGAGAACGGAAUUCCUGGUGUAGCGGUGAAAUGCGCAGAUAUCAGGAGGAACACCGGUGGCGAAGGCGGUUCUCUGGGCAUGUCCUGACGCUGAGGAGCGAAAGUGUGGGGAGCGAACAGG
rnacentral:rRNA from 1 species